rnacentral:lncRNA from 1 species
CACCAGCUGCCUCAAAUGCUCUCAACCAGACCCCAGGGGAGGCAAACAGGCUUUGCUGUUUUGGGGUUCUCUUUCUUAACCUGAUGGCAUUUUCACCUCCUCUAGGACUCAACAUUUUGCUUCUUACAGGACUCAGAAAGAAUUUCCAAGUCAAACAAGGCGAAGAGUGUGCUGUCCUUCUAAGCAAUGUUUUUCUGUUAGUCUGACCCCUGCAGAGUGCCCUGGGGCCCUGGUGGAGCUGUCAAAGACACAGUGCAGAUGUGCAAGGAGGGAUCAGGGAAAGGCAAUAACCAUGGUGCUCAGUCUGGUCCAUUACUUCUGAAACAAGAGCAAGACCUACAGUUGCCCUGUUGCCAUGGCAGUCACUAAAGGGAUAAGAAGGUAACUCGCACAGGGAGGAUGAUACCCCUGCCAGCUCCAGUGCCUGGAGAGGAUGAAGAGGAGGCUGUCUAAAGAUAAUCUCUUUCAUCCGUUCUCAAUUUAAAAGGCAG